rnacentral:rRNA from 1 species
AUACGGAGGAUCCGAGCGUUAUCCGGAUUUAUUGGGUUUAAAGGGUGCGCAGGCGGCCAUUUAAGUCAGCGGUUAAAUCGUGGGGCUCAACCCCAUUCUGCCGUUGAUAUUGGGUGGCUUGAUUGCGGUCGAGGUUGGCGGAAUUCGUUGUGUAGCGGUGAAAUGCAUAGAUAUGACGAAGAACACCGAUUGCGUAGGCAGCUGACCAGACCGCAAAUGACGCUCAUGCACGAAAGUGCGGGGAUCGAACAGGAUUAGAUACCCUGGUAGUCCGCACAGUAAACGAUGAAAACUUGUUUUCGGCGAUAUAAUGUCGGAGGCAAAGCGAAAGCGAUAAGUAUUCCACCUGGGGAGUACGCCGGCAACGGUGAAACUCAAAGGAAUUGGCGGGG